UUCCAAUCUAAAUAGUCGAGAGGAUAUAUUGUUAAAUAAAUACCCUUCUUUCUUGCUACCAUUAUCAUGGUACUAUGCAGACUCUGAAAUUAUUAACUUACAUUCAAUUCAUCCCGUUAUCGAUUAUUCUGUACUACAAAAGCCUCAUUUUUCCAUAGAUGUUAUUUUCAAAUUGUUUUUACGAUUACGGUAUCAUAUUUUCGUUUAUACUUUACUGGCGAUUUCUCGGGUUUAAAAAAAAAAAAAAUCUGGAUUGAGAAUUGGGUCUGUCAUUGUAUAAAAUUUUCCGUUUCUAACUCACACCGGAACA